CAUUAGAUCGUCUAUUGGGACACCGUUAAGAAAUAAUUCCUUUAAAUACAACAUCAGAAAGAAUGUACGUUUCAUUAAAAAGUUUACGCCCAAUUUAAUUUCAAGUGUCAGAACCUUUUCCCCCCAUAGAAAUAAGAGUUUUAAAAUGAGAUACAAAAAUGACUCUAAAAACGUCAAGAUGUUCAAUUUUGAUGCUGGAUAUCAUUUGAUGCAUGCCAAAUUUAUCUCUUAAUUAGAGGCGCCAUUAGCGGAGAAAUAGCUCGAUAAAGACGCUGCCACGGAGCGAGCUUUACGUAAAGUUAACGGCCGGUGGUAUAUGCAGCGAACUUGGCACGCACGGGCCUCGAGCGUAGAAAAUUAAUGGACGAGCGUUUUAUGCAUCAUUCAAUGUUAACUAGUCGUUAAGAAUUUAUAAAGCUAAUCCAGUCUAAUUUGCUUUGAAAUCUGUUUGAUAAAGCAUGGACUUUGCCAGGACUUGGCAUGCAUCUACUGUUAAUGAAGACAUGCUUCGACAUUUACAAGUCAUUAAAGGGCAUCUGACACGAUAUCGAAUGAUAGCGGUGAAGAACCCAAAAUCUACUUUGCAAUGCAAGCACAUCAGGUGAAGUAGAUUUUGACAAUUUUGUAAAAUUUGCAAGCUUUAUAUAAUACCUAAGUAUCUAAGAGUCCUGAAGUCAUCUUAUACCAUGUUUUUACAUGUAUCGUAGUCCCUAAAAAUGCAAAACAUAAUUAACAUCGCUUGGAUGCAUGUUGAUAGAUAUGGAACUGACGUGCACCAUCUGGUAUCGUAAUAAUGAAAUUGUUUAACGACAAAAGUUGAAGGUUAUAAGCAAAUCUCGGCUACAAAUCACAGAACGUCUAUAAUACACACAAUGUCUCUCCUCACAACACUCGGUGAACUUCUUCACGUUGCCGAUAUUACCGUGGGUGUAGUAAACAAAGUAUGGAAAAAGUCAUUUAUAACAGCAAAUUUGACAUCAAGUCAAAAUUGAAGCAUACUUUGUCCGUCUCCUCCAUUUGUAAUGAAAACCAUAUGUAAACCUCGAACCCGACCUAUCCACUAUGACCGCCGAAUCCUUCCACAGUUGAUUAUUUGAUGUCUGUGAAGUUUGCCUUUGUUCUCUAUAUAACGGAUUAAAUGAAACGAAACGGAACUAAUUCUGUUUGGCGAUUGAGGAUAAUGACAGGGGUUUUCUUUUUAUCUGCUUUCUAUGAACCCGAUUCUGAUCCAUUAGAGACUGGCUUGAAGAGGAACAAACAGCCCCAGUGGAUGUGAUACGCCUUAUCCAGCCUUAACUUUUCACCUUUUCUCAGAUCCAUCCCCCAAUUACAGAAUGAUUUGAUAAAACAACCCAAAAGAAUGAUUAUCAAAUAUCACGCCAGAUUAUAAGACGGAAAUGCAGUGAUCAAUUGUACACAAACUGAACGCAUCUCCUUGAAAUUGUGCAUUUUACAGAAGAAAUUCAGAACAAUUGCGUCCGGAAUGUAGAUAGAACAGACUCAUUGCGCAUUCCUCAGCAAGUUCAGAUAGCGCUCAAAUUUUUACGUAUCUUUCGUCAACUAUCAAAACAAAAUUUCGGUAUACAAUACAAGGGAUUAGCUGCAGAUGAUGAAAAUCCUUAAUUUUGUUUGAUAUCAGCUUUAAUAUGAGGUUUUCAGACACUGUAGGUUAUUAAGACAGGGUUUAUUAACAUUUUCUUUGACAUGAGACGCGGGACUGAAAGAUUAUGAGCAUGGAUCAAAAGCAAGUACCGAUGCCGUGGCGGAUCUAGAGGGAAUGGGAUUAUGGGGGGUUGGAUCCCUUUUGAUUGAAAAUUUUAAACAAAAAUUGGUAUUUUUGCUAUUUUGAAAUCUUCAACCUUCCCUUUUUUUGGGACGGAAAAGGUACAAACUUGGGUUGCACCCUCCCCUUUUAAAUUUUCUUGGAUCCGCCACAGUCGUGAAGACACACGAUCACGUGAGUGAUCUCGCAGCGUGCGUUCAUUCCAUCACUGUUUAUGACAUAGCUCCGUAAGCCAACAUAAAGAGAUGACUUUGAAAACAGUAAACGACAUGAAAAAGGUGAAGGUCCUCUGAAGUUCACAACGAACAAGAUGCAUGUCAAAGAAAAGUACAAAAACAAAUCUCGCGGUGCAGUACAUUGUGAACGGUGACCGAUUAAGCAGCGCAUCUUGACAAAUCAAAACUCCAUGCCAUCGUGUGUACAUUGAGUGCAUCUUGUAACGCGGUGCAGGUUCUGUACGGCCAAGAGUGCCGUGUAUGAAUUACAGGAAUUUCGACAUAUGGAUUUUGAUUCUCCACAAAAACGCCGACAUUUCUGACUUGACAUAAAAGCAGAGAAAGAAUUUGAAUUGCAAAAUGAACGGUAAAGAUUUUCAGUUUAACAUAAGCAGGGAUUUGGGAUGUUAGAUUUUUCUUAUAAUAAACAGGGACUUCGAAUA